GCCAGCGUAGCUCAGUUGGUAGAGCGGCUGAUUUGUAAUCAGCGGGUCGGGGGUUCGAAUCCCUUCGCUGGCU
rfam:Candidatus Aminicenantes bacterium RBG_16_63_16 RBG_16_scaffold_3016, whole genome shotgun sequence.